rnacentral:tRNA from 1 species
GCCGUCGUAGCUCAACUGGUAGAGCUCCUGAUUUGUAAUCAGGGGGUUGCGGGUUCAAUUCCUGUCGACGGCUCCA